rnacentral:rRNA from 1 species
GGCCGUGCUUACCUCCUUAUCCCCAUAAAGCUGGAUGGAGCUACCCCAUCUAACCCUGCUAUUCCUGUAAUUGUGCGCGUGGUUAAUUGUUUUGAAGGUAUCAGAAGUGGCCAGCAGCCGCGGUAAUUCCAGCUCCAAUAGCGUAUAUUAAAGUUGUUGCAGUUAAAAAGCUCGUAGUUGAACCUUGGGCCUGGCUGGCCGGUCCGCCUCACCGCGUGUACUGGCCCGGCUGGGCCUUUCCUUCUGGAGAGCCGCAUGCCCUUCACUGGGUGUGUUGGGGACCCAGGACUUUUACUUUGAAAAAAUUAGAGUGUUCAAAGCAGGCCUUUGCUCGAAUACGUUAGCAUGGAAUAAUGGAAUAGGACAUGUGGUCCUAUUUUGUUGGUUUCUAGGACCACUGUAAUGAUUAAUAGGGAUAGUCGGGGGCAUCAGUAUUCAAUUGUCAGAGGUGAAAUUCUUGGAUUUAUUGAAGACUAACUACUGCGAAAGCAUUUGCCAAGGAUGUUUUCAUUAAUCAGUGAACGAAAGUUAGGGGAUCGAAGACGAUCAGAUACCGUCGUAGUCUUAACCGUAAACUAUGCCGACUAGGGAUCGGGCGAUGUUACUAUUUUGACUCGCUCG